rnacentral:tRNA from 1 species
UGAGGCGUAGCCAAGUGGUAAGGCACCGGGUUUUGGGUCCGGCAUUUCGCAGGUUCGAUCCCUGCCGCCUCAG